rnacentral:rRNA from 1 species
AUUGAACGCUGGCGGCAUGCUUUACACAUGCAAGUCGAACGGUAACAGGCCGCAAGGUGCUGACGAGUGGCGAACGGGUGAGUAAUGCAUCGGAACGUGCCCAGUCGUGGGGGAUAACUACUCGAAAGAGUAGCUAAUACCGCAUACGAUCUAUGGAUGAAAGCGGGGGACCGUAAAGCCUCGCGCGAUUGGAGCGGCCGAUGUCAGAUUAGGUAGUUGGUGGGGUAAAGGCUCACCAAGCCAACGAUCUGUAGCUGGUCUGAGAGGACGACCAGCCACACUGGGACUGAGACACGGCCCAGACUCCUACGGGAGGCAGCAGUGGGGAAUUUUGGACAAUGGGCGCAAGCCUGAUCCAGCAAUGCCACGUGCAGGAAGAAGGCCUUCGGGUUGUAAACUGCUUUUGUACGGAACGAAACGGCUCUGGUUAAUACCCGGGGCUAAUGACGGUACCGUAAGAAUAAGCACCGGCUAACUACGUG